rnacentral:rRNA from 1 species
UACGAAGGGGGCUAGCGUUGCUCGGAAUCACUGGGCGUAAAGGGUGCGUAGGCGGGUCUUUAAGUCAGGGGUGAAAUCCUGGAGCUCAACUCCAGAACUGCCUUUGAUACUGAGGAUCUUGAGUACGGGAGAGGUGAGUGGAACUGCGAGUGUAGAGGUGAAAUUCGUAGAUAUUCGCAAGAACACCAGUGGCGAAGGCAGCUCACUGGCCCGUAACUGACGCUGAGGCACGAAAGCGUGGGGAGCAAACAGG